rnacentral:rRNA from 1 species
UACAGAGGUCUCAAGCGUUGUUCGGAUUCAUUGGGCGUAAAGGGUGUGUAGGUGGCGCCGUAAGUCGGGUGUGAAAUCUCGGGGCUUAACUCCGAAACUGCAUUCGAUACUGCGGUGCUUGAGGACUGGAGAGGAGACUGGAAUUCAUGGUGUAGCAGUGAAAUGCGUAGAGAUCAUGAGGAAGACCAGUGGCGAAGGCGGGUCCCUGGACAGUUCCUGACACUGAGACACGAAGGCCAGGGGAGCAAACGGG